AAUCCUGAGGAGCGUUGCGACGACCCUGCGGUUCCCGCCGUGCUGUGAUCCAAAACAGCCACGCCACGCGGAACCCGGCUCGCCAGGCUCAGGAAUCCUUGUUCAAGCGCCGCGCCCUGCGCGUCGCUACAGCAACGGCGCUCACCUUUG
rnacentral:ncRNA from 2 species